GUGCCUAACACAUGCAAGUCGAACGUGAACGGGGGCAACCCCUAGUAAAGUGGCGUACGGGUGAAUAACGCGUAGGCAAUCUACCCCAAAGUCUGGAAUAACCGGCCGAAAGGCUGGCUAAUACUGGAUAGAGCGACGGAAUCCGUAAUUGGGUUUUUCGGGAAAGGGAGGGAGCAAUCCCCCUUGCUUUGGGAUGGGCCUGCGUCCCAUCAGCUAGUUGGUAAGGUAACGGCUUACCAAGGCUAUGACGGGUAGCUGGUCUGAGAGGAUGAUCAGCCACACUGGAACUGAAACACGGUCCAG
rnacentral:rRNA from 1 species